CAGGUCUGCAGUGAAACAGAAUGUUGACUGUGGUACAAGCUUACUGAUACCAAGGAAAACAGUUCACUGAUUGCAAGGAUACUGGUUUCAAGUCUGCCAACUGUGUGUGCCCUCCUGCUAGUAAGAAAGGAGUUAAGAGGAGUGGAGAUAAAAGCAGCUGGGAUCUAUCAAGCAAUCAGGGCCCUCUGCCAGGGAAGAGAGGGACUGGGGCUAAGAGGAUGGCUUUGAUCCUAGAAAGAGAGAACUGGAGGUCAGGAAGUAUGAAGUAACCUUGCAUCAAGUCAGACUGACAGAUAACUGCAUUGUCCUUGACCUCAGCCAUGCUUUGGAUCCUUGAGAAGUGAGUGUGUACAGAUAGCAGUAGAGGGGCAGUCUGACAAAAUGACAUCUGACAUGAAGCAAAGCGCACUGUCUUGGUGAGCAUUUGCCUGCAUUCCCAAGGAGGCUAAUCCAUCCUAGAUACAGUACGUGUAACUUCCGGGAAGUCUAAAGUGCUUCAACGAUAAGGAACGUGCGGUGUUCUCUGAAAUCGCUGUUUCACUCAGGCAGAUGUGCAUGCAUAUAUCUGCAGGAGACAACCAUAAAGCAUCAUCCUGAAGUCAUCCUAGCUAAAAAAAAAACAACCCAGCUCCAAAGAAACCACCAGAUGCUGAGACUUUACAUUCCUGAGGAAGAGAACUGCUCAGUAAAUACUCCUACACUGCCUCCAAGACUCAAAAAUCAAGAUAACUGGGUUUUCUCUUCUGCAAAAUGGAAGUGAAAAGGAAGCCUCUGUUCAGAAAGUGCCCAUGAAUACUCAAGGCAAGCUGUAGCACUGUCUGUUCAGUCCAGGUAAUUAAAAUCAAACAGAAUUGUGAAUGCCCUAUCAAAAGGAAUUGACUCAUGGCAAUUAAAGGCAAUUGCCUUAUAGUUAUACAGUAGUAAUAUAAGAUUGAGUCUACAACCACUGUUACUUGAAGCUAGCAUUAAUGAGAAACUGCAGUGAAGCUGAUCAUUGCCACUCAUUACUGAGACACAAUAAAGAAACCACGGAACUCAAGGAGGAUAAGUCCCAUAG
ensembl:lncRNA